ensembl:misc_RNA Y_RNA Y RNA
GGUAGGUCCAAAGGUAGCAAGUUAUCUCAAUUGAUCACAGUCAGUUACAGAACUAACUCCUUUUUCCAUUCUAUCACCGCUUCUCAUUACUGUACUUGACUAGUCUUUA